rnacentral:rRNA from 1 species
GGCUGUCGUCAGCUCGUGUCGUGAGAUGUUGGGUUAAGUCCCGCAACGAGCGCAACCCUUGUCAUUAGUUGCUACGAAAGGGCACUCUAAUGAGACUGCCGGUAGGACAAACCGGAGGAAGGUGGGAUGACGUCAAGUCCUCAUGGCCCUUAUAGGUGGGCUACACACGUCAUACAAUGGCGUGGUACAAAGGGUUGCCAACCCGCGAGGGGGAGCCAAUCCCAAUAAAGCCAGUCGUAGUCCGGAUCGCAGUCUGCAACUCGACUGCGUGAAGUCGGAAUCGCUAGUAAUCGUGGAUCAGCAUGUCACGGUGAAUACGUUCCCGGGUCCGUU